AUGAAAUUAUGGGUAUUUACGUCCUUUUCCCCCAAUAGUAUUUUAACAAAUGAAAAACACCUUAAUAGGUAUUCCCAAAAUAAUUCUUAUGAGUUUGUAAUAAAAAACGAGGACGAGGUCUUGAAUACACGCAUCGCUGACUCAAAGAUGGUCACCCCGCCGGCCCCCACCCCCGGCCAAGAAUCCCGCUCCGCAGAGCGCAGAGCUCCGUGGCCCGCGCCGGAAGUGGGCGUGGCUCGCCCGCGGCUUGCUGGGACUUGUAUUUCGGGGCUCCAGGCGCGCGAGCCGGCAGCAUCCGGAAUGCGGCCCCUGCAGGUGUGGGGUUCCACGUGGGAGGAAUCCAUCCCCACUGGGAGUAAGAAAUGACCAAGGUCCGGAUUCCAAGUCAAUUGUGGUAGCUGCUGGGGAUUUAAAGAUGAGUUGAGGCCAGGCGUGGUGGCUCACACCUGUAAUCCCAGUACUUUGGGAGGCUGAGUGGGGAGGAUCACCUGAGGUCAGGAGUUUGAGACCAGCCUGGCCAACAUAGUGAAACCUCAUCUCUACUAAAAAUACAAAAAAUUAGCUGGUCAUGUUGAUGCCUGUAAUCCCAGCUACUCAGGAGGCUGAGGCAGGAGAAUCUCUUGAACCCAGGAGGUGGGGGUUGUGGUGAGCUGAGAUCUUGCCACUGCACUCCAGCCUGGGCAACAGAGUGAGACUCUGCGUCAAACAACAAAGAUAAGUUGAGUGUGGCACCUAUCCUUCAGAAUCUUACAGCCAACUUGGGAGACAGACUUAAUAGCUAUAGUAGAGGGAUGUGAAAGAUGCUAUGAGAUCUCAAAGGAGAAGAAUUCUAACUCAUCCUCAUGCUUCUGAAAGAGGCUAUUGUCCUAAGACUGAAAGCUCCAAAAUGGAUGGGAGAACUCAAUAAGUUAGGGCUUAUGAUAGAAAGGACUGUGCUAGACUCAAGUAUGAUGUGUUGAAUGACUCCAGGUAAUCUAGUGUGCCUCUUCCUGCUUUUUCACUUCAAAGUAAAGUUAGAUACAGCAGAGAGGGGCUCUGGAAAGAAGUGGAAGGCCAUGUGAUGGCAUGUAUGUAGUUCUAAGGAGGUUGACAUUUGUCUGAUAGAAACAGGAAACAAUUGAUCUUGUGACCUUCCUCUUUGUGGCCUUUAGAAUAUCGAGUCUGCUCUCUCCACUGUAAGCAGGAGCACAGCCUUGGAGUGACUCCUUAGUGCCACUGAUACCUGGGAAGACUGUUGAUUAUUCAGUGUUUCAGUCCCAGCUUUGUCUUGCUUAGGAGCACUAUUUCCUUUCCUUUUCUCCCUUCCCUUGUCACAAUGAUUCCUCUCAUUUGGUCUACUCCUGUCAUUUUUUUUUUACCUACCACAAAGUUAAUAGUCCACCAACAUAUCCUUUCCCUUCUCAGAAUGGAAUCCCG
rnacentral:lncRNA from 1 species